CCAUCGGGCACUUCAAACGUUUAACGUACUGCAAUAUAAAUGGCACAUUUUCCAAGGGAAAAAACUUACUGUUUUGCUUCUUCUCUAAAUAAUAAACCACUGUAGCAGUAAGCAUGGUGUUUAUUUGGGGAUUUCUGCUUUUGUCGCUAACGCAUGUGACCACCACAAUGGGCCAGCCUGGCAGGCACCCGUCAGGUAAACCAUAUUGUGAUGAGAUACAUGAUAUCAAUAACCAUUGCUGUGUGAGUCUGGCCCUGCUGGUCAACUUUGGCCCUGAAGCAUGUAUCCGGAAAAUUGGCUGUAAAGGGUACCAUUGGCCAAUCGAGAAUCACCUUAGCAAUCUUGGACUACCAUCGGUUACCACUGCCGAACAAGAAGUGGGCAAAAUCCCGCAGGUUUCCUGGGAUUCUCUGGAGCCAGUGCACUAUUUGGUUUUUCAAAAAGCUGUAAAUGCUUUCAAGCAAUGCAGUGGAGAACUCGAGGCUGACCGUCGCUGGGAUCUAAAAUGGCAAUGUAUCCCAUGCAGAGAAGAAUCAAGUUUCGUGAACUUAUUCCACAAAGGGUUAACGUUGUCUAGCAACGAGUCUGCUGGCUUUGUGCCAGCAAGGACAUGCGACCCGAAUUACGGAUGUUCAGUGCCAUAAUACUCGUAUCCAGUGCAUAUGUCCGUAGCUCUUUCCCACAUGCUUUCCUUUGCGAAUUCUUUUUUCAUCGUAUUCAAACUGUUCCACGAUACCGAGAGACCAGAAUCGGUCACAAAACCGAUGAAUUUUAUGACUAACGAGUUUGUAUUAACACGUACUUGUGUCCUACUUGAACGCCACUUUUUUUCCCUCAAAUUUUUACUUCAUGUACUUACAUUUAGAAUAGCUCCUAUAAACUCCGUCGAUAUUA